GGUGUGGUCGCCAGGACCGCCGGAUUGAUCGG
rnacentral:scRNA from 1 species